GUUCUUCCUAACAUCCAACCUAAAACUCCCCUGGUGCAACUUUAGCCCAUUCCCCCUCAUCCUGUCACCAGGCACGUGGGAGAACAGACCAACCCCCACCUCGCUAUAGUACCAAUUGAGUAGUAUGUGCAAUAUUAUGCAGUGCUAAACGUUAUACAUGCUUCUACAUCAAUAGCAGAAGCCUAAAAAAUAGGUCAAAAAAAUGCAAUAAUUAGCAUCUGUGGCAAAUCUAAUAGAAAUCUCUGAGACUGGUUAUGCAGAGGUAAGGAGCAGGUUACUAUGUUGCUUGGACAUCAAUUUUGUAGGAAGUACAAAUAGGAUGUUUGAGGUGUGGGAGAGGUGCAGAGCAGGAAGGAUAAUGCAAAAAUCAAAUACAAUAUAAUAUUGUUGGGAAAGAAGAUCACUGAGGAAUCUGUGUGGGUUAAAUCUAUCACUUUACUAUUAAGAAGUUAGCAAUAAAAAUGUAUUGCAAGGCCACCUCCCAUCUGAUCAGGACAAAAUAAGUGAAACUGAAGCAGCUGCAAAGUUAGGACAAGUCAAAAUAUAGUAGCUUUAACUACCUAGCUAUAGUGUAGUGCAUCUCAUCAUUAUGAGAUGUAGAAACAAAACUUUAUAAUGCAACGAACAUCUCCUUUCUCCAUCAGCUUGUCUCAGAACACAUAAAAAACAAACAAACAAAAACCAGACAUUAUCCUAAACUCAGUCUUACUCAGUGUUGAGUGGUACACAGGACCUCACUCAAGUUUUACUGUUGGUGAGCCACUCUGUAACAAUGAUCUCAAUACAAUUGAAAUUAAUGUUAGUAUCAUGAGGGAAAAAAACAAAUAAAUUCAAAAGCCAAAUAUUCAGUUUCAAGAAAGAGCAAUGAAAAAGAAAAAUAUAGAUAGUUAAAAUAAAUAAAUAAAUAAAUUAAAAAAAUCAACCAGCCAGUCAAAUAGUCAUAUAAAGAAUAGUUCAACAAACAAGAGCCUGGAGUAUGUAUUACAAGCCCAGUUAAACUGUGUACUGCAAUUCCAGGAGAAAAUGAAGCCAUCAAAUGAAAUUUCUUCAAAGCUCAAGGGGAAAACUAUCACAGCAAAUGAAGGCAAAUGGAAAAUGAUACUAUCGUAGGCAAAAAAACAGCAGUUUAAAAAUGGUAGGUCUACACAAAGAAUUAGAAAGCAAAGCCUGUAAUACAUGACAAAUAGGAAAAAAUAAAAUAAAAUAAAAUAAAAUAAAAUAAAAUAAAAUAAAAUAAAAUAAAAUAAAAUAAAAUAAAAUAAAAUAAAAUAAAAUAAAAUAAGAGAGGGAUAAGAGAAUUUGAAGGGUACCUUAUAAAGACGUAGCCUACUGCACCAGACAAAUGGUUGUUUAGCAAUCCCAGCCUCCAAGAAAGGUCUACAUGGUGCCCCUGUGACAUCCGGGAAACUACAAUCUGGUGAAUCUUCUCUCCAUCCCUGAAAAAAACAGAGAGUCUACGAUAAAUUUAGCAUCACUGAAUAUAUGAAUUUUGAGGGUUUGUUAUGAAGGUUCUUGUAAGGGUAAAGCCUGUCUAGCUGUUCUGGUGAGGUUCUUGUCAUUCUAGUUUACUGAGUGUGUUGGUUAACAUAACUCAAUCCCCUUUGUCCAAACUAAUCCAAAUCCUAAUACAUUUUGUUUUUUUAUUUUUAGUUUUUAAAGCUACUGACAGUUUUCAACUAAAGGCCCUUGAGAAAAGUAAGCUGCUUUAGUGUUCAAUAAAAGGUUCUUUUAGGGGCCACUAUCAGUACUGGGGCCAGUUUUAUUCAAGAUCUUCAUCAGUAACCUGGAAAAGGGAGUGAAUUGUGAAAUCUCCAAUUUCACAGUUGGUAGUAUGUUAUAUUGGGUAGUCAAAUGUCACACUGGUGGUAAGGAUCAUCAAAAUUACCUCAGUGAGUAAGCAUGAAAAUAAAAUGGUAGAUAAGCUUCAGAGGAGGUAACUGUAAAGCAGGAAAAAUAAUCCAAAUCAUGUUUACAUGAUAUUGCCUUAGAAGGAGACACUAAGGGGGUUGGAACUUUUCAGCUUAGAGGGAAGAAAAGAGUAGGAACAAAGUCUGCAAAAUGUAGAAGGUGAUGAAUGAGGUAUAUGAAGAACUUUUAUUCACCAAACACCACAGUACAAAAAUGAGUGAGCAGUUACUGAAAUCACUGGAAGGGAAGUUUAAAAUAGGUAAUAGAAAGCACCCUUUUACUCAGUGGGUAGAGUAUUUCUGGAAUUUCUUGCAACAGGAGGUUAUGGAGACAAUAUCAGCAGGACCAUAAAUUAACUAAGGAAAGUCAUGGAAAUCAGGUCUAGAGACAAACUAUAAAAGCAAAGGCAAGGACAUGCUCUUUAACAUCACUAACACAGAGAUUUUGGAUGCUGGAAGUCUCUAAGGGAAGGGACUGCAGCUGAUCACCACUGCUCUCCUAAAAUAGCACCUAUGAUUGCCUCUGUUAGAGAAGAAUAUAGGUCUGGGUGGGCUAAUGGUCUGACCCUGUAUGGGAUUUCUUCUGUCCUUACAUUUUGUAAGUUUACCCUAGUGUGAAGUGAAUAUUUAUUUCAAAAAAAUGUUCUUUUAAGAUUUGUUCCCCUUCUUUCCAAUUACCACUUAAAAUGCUCACUGUUAGAACCUAAGCCAAGAAUAGAGAUUAUUGCUACAUAAACAAAAUUAAAGAGAACUGGAAUUUAUCUGAAAAGCAGUAGAAUGGAAUGGGAAGGAAGGAAGAAAGCAACACCUCCCUUCCUACCUAUUUUGGGAACAGCAGUCAUGCUUUGCUGCUAUUUGAUCAUGCUGUAAAUAUCUGUGCUAUUUUACACCAUGUUCUCAAUAGACUUAGUAAAUGGCCUACACAGCUAGAGUACCUUUACUCAUUAACUAUCCUCACCUCCUGCCAACAGGUCUCCUUCUAACCUCUACUUUUUAUUGUGGGGAAUCACAUUAUGAGAGCCACUUCAUUGUGGCUGAUCAGUGUAGAUAGGUUUUAGCAGUUCAUUGUUCAGUUGCUUCUACAGCAGGAAUAAUAGCAAAGCAAAGACCUAGAAAUGCAAGAAGGCCCACCACCAGCCACCUCAAGUAUAUCUUGAGCAAGGAUCAAAAAUAUUUCAAACCUAAUCAGUCAGUUUAAAAGGUCAAGAGAUUUUUAUUGAAAUCAAAUAUGCUGGUGCUUAUAAUGUGCCAUUGGGGUUUUUGCAUUCAGUCAGGUUGAGUCUUUAAGCUUCUUUUCUACAAUCCUCUAGCAUUACACACUUCCUUUUUAAGGCAAAUGAAGCUUUUCACUGUUCCAGGAAGUAGACCUAUAAGGAUCGUGACAAAUACCUUACGACAUGGCAACAAAGGGAGCUGCCAUAUGCCACCUUAAAUGAGUAAGAAUUGUAUCAUAAACACCUGCUCUCAGCCAUCCAGAGGGGAACUCCAAGUUUUAAAAUAUGAUUAGCUCUGCUUAUAACCCAUCCAUAGGUGUGCAGUACAGCAGGAGGAACAGAGGAUGUAUAGCCUGCGUAUUUAGUUAGCCUCUCUCAGAGGAUAAAUAUGCUAAUAAUUUUCUCCUUGCUUUAAUAUAAACCUGCGCAGACUUACUUGCAGCCUGCACAUAUUUACAUAUGCAAACCUUUAAGCUGUGAGCUGAAUUUCUGGUUACUUUACAUGCACACAUAUGCACAGAUCCCGUGUGUUAAUAUUGCCUUUGUGGACAGUUUCCUUAAAUCUCAUGAAUCAUCUGGAUGCAUGCCAUAAGAGAAAAUAGCAGGAAAUAAGUUUUGAAGUAGGGCAGACUGGUAUGACCUUCAGCUGUACGGGUACAAUUGCCACUUUUCACAAAUAUAUUAACAAAUGAAUUGUUGCAAUUUUGCUUUCAAUUCACUGGUUUCAUAGGGAUGAUGAUGAAGUAACUCAUGAUUUAUAACCAGUAAGUCAAUUGUGACUUUUACUUUUUUGUCUAUCUGUAGAAAAACAAACAAACAAACAAAAAAAAACAAAACUACAAAAAAAAACAAAAAAAAAAAACAAAAAACAAAAAACAAAACAACAGAAGAGGAUUUAAACAAACACACUUAUUUCUUAAACCAACAUCCUUUCCCAAACGUGUUUAGACAUGCAUAAAAUCUCCCACAUGGUAUGGCCUAGACAAUUAUUUACUACCUUUUGUGCCUUUAAUUGCACACAAUCUGCAGAUUAAAGAGAAGAAUGUUUUCCAGAAGGGUACCUUGUUAUUCCAUGGUGACUGUCAUUUGUGUGAAAUGUAAAGUUCCCAGAAUAAAUAAAAAACUAACUCCAAUAUCAACAGUGCUUGCUCUUAACAAUGGGUUCAGAGGGACAAAACAAUAAAUGGUAUUUACACAAAUUGUUUUCAGGAACAAGUGGAAGAAUUUGAACUACAUAAUUUUUCAUUCAGAUGAUAAAAAUAAAAAGAUGUAAGGUGUUAUUUUCUUUUGUCUUCUAUUUGGACAUUAAUGGGUUGUUCCAAUGUGAAACAGUUAAAGACGGGAAAAGAAUUAUAUACUUUUUGUCUUCACACCCUGUAAAACAGAAGUUGCAGUAAUACAUGGAUUUAAUAUAAAAAUAUUCAUUGAAUGUUCAUUGCAAACCUUGGUACUUGAUAAGUACUUGUAUAGACUGGACUUACAGGUGUGCAAUCUCAAAAGAAGGUAGUGUUACUUAUUAGAUUUGCUCCAGUAUUGCCCCUCAUGCUUUGAAUAUUCUUUCAGUUUUGAUUAUUAAGAAUAGCCAAUAAACUCUUUUAUCUUGUAUGACAUUACCUCAGACUUAUCAUUUUCUCAUUCACAUUUUCAGAUGAGUUCUGUCUGUCAGAAAUGUUGUAUUGUCUUAAGAGAAGAGGUGCACAAGAAGAAAGAGAAAUAAGAACAUUUAAGCAUAUCUAAGUUAUCAUGUAAUUAGAUUUAGAAUAAUUCACAGGAAAAAAAAAAAUCUUGAUACUUUUCAAUUGCUAUCAUAGAAGAUGACUUCCAUUCUGGGCUAUCUUCCUGGAAAUCUCCCAGCAGAAAUGUUUUAAAGGUACUGCAAAAAUAGAAGGAAGCAGCACUGUCUUAUCUUGCAUGAGUCAGCCUUUUACAGAUUAUACCUUCCAGCUGCAAAAAGUUACAAGUUUAAUUUUAUGCACUUCUGGGUGAAACAUAUUGACUUGAAAGCACUGAUCCUGAAGAGAGGUGAAUACGGCUCCAUGGGAUGCAGGGCAACCCUCUGCACGGAACUCAAUCAGGUCCAAGUCCUGCAGAAAAUGAAGCUUCUGGAUGCCAUUGCUGUAUUGUACGUCAUCUCCUCCAAUUUUGGAUACUUGUGUCAGCUCAUUAGAGCCUUUCUGCUGCUCACAUUUUGCCUCAAGCAUGUAUGUGUGCCUCGUCUGAUAUUUUUUGCUUUUCUAUAAUAAAAUCUAGGCAAAAAUUUGCCCUGUGUCAUUAAGCUUGUUCUUAGAUAUUGAUCAUAUUGUGUAUUUGCCCUGAUAAAUAUCAGAACAUAUAUAUGUAUGAACUGAUUUUCUAUUUGAUGUGAAAAGAUAUUAGAUAUAAUUAAAAAUAAUGACAAAAAAAAAAUCCUGUAACUGGGGAAAGGAUUUAGAAUUUUGU